AUUGAACGCUGGCGGAAUGCUUUACACAUGCAAGUCGAACGGCAGCACGGACUUCGGUCUGGUGGCGAGUGGCGAACGGGUGAGUAAUGUAUCGGAACGUGCCCAGUCGUGGGGGAUAACGUAGUGAAAAUUACGCUAAUACCGCAUACGAUCUAUGGAUGAAAGCGGGGGAUCGCAAGACCUCGCGCGAUUGGAGCGGCCGAUAUCAGAUUAGGUAGUUGGUGGGGUAAAGGCCCACCAAGCCAACGAUCUGUAGCUGGUCUGAGAGGACAACCAGCCACACUGGAACUGAGACACGGUCCAGACUCCUACGGGGGGCAGCAGUGGGGAAUUUUGGACAAUGGGCGAAAGCCUGAUCCAGCCAUUCCGCGUGCAGGAUGAGGGCCCUCGGGUUGUAAACUGCUUUUGUACAGAACGAAAAGGUUUCUACUAAUACUAGGAGCUCAUGACGGUACUGUAAGAAUAAGCACCGGCUAACUACGUGCCAGCCGCCGCCGUAA
rnacentral:rRNA from 1 species